rnacentral:lncRNA from 1 species
AAGGAUUAGCUACUCAUGAAUAGGUGAAACAAAUAUAUAUUUAUACCACAAACCAUGAGAGUAAGAAUUUAAGUACAAAGAAUACAACUUGACGAAAGUGCUUGACGUCCGGAUGAAUCCCUUCACUCCUUCUUCCAAUCUCUCUCACAAGUGUUUCUCUCCCUUUUCUCUCUAAAAAGGCUAUCUCUAUAUUAUUCUAUAUGAUACAAGUUAGUUGUCUCUAAUAUCUAUCAAAACCCUAAUAUAUAUAUAAGAGUUUUCUUAAUUUACAAGAAAAUAAAAUAAUAUCCUAAAACGGGUUGGAUUCUGAUGCUGAAAUUCGUAGGCUGCUGUUCAGGCCUGAUUCUGGACUGAUCCAGUUGCCUUUUGAUAUCUGGACCACCUUAAACUUGUAGAGAAUUUCAAUAUCUUCGCGUGGGCUGUUAAAUCGCCCAAUUCUGACAUCCAGAACUCAAGUUACGGCCCAAACAAGAUUUGCUUCGCUGGCUAUCCAUAAAGUCCGAAUUUCCAUCUGAUUAAGCCCAAAUAAGCUUGAUUUAAUCCAACUUUAGGAAUAUUUAUUUUCCUGAAAUUAAACACUUAAAAUCAAUUAGUAACAUCCCGAUUAUUUACAAAAUACUAAAAUUAUGGGAAUAAAAUCAUAUAAAAACAUAUAUAAAUAUAUGCUCUAUCAAAUAUCCCCACACUUAGUCUUUUGCACGUCCUCGGGCAAAUAAAAUAAAUAACACUAACACCUAAUAGAUAUAUACCACUUCCGUAGGUGAUCACGGUUGCAUUUGGCAUAUGCAACAAGCCCUUUAAACCCCUAGGCAGCCCUAGUGGACGAGUAAGGUCUCGUGAGGGUCUAUAGUGAAUGUACCCACAAAAUCCAUCUAGCUCAUGUAAUAAUAAUAUAGAUGACCACAAGAACACAAGCAUGGAGUGCAACUACAUGAAUGCAACUAAUAAAUGAAUAUGUAUGGAUCCCAAUAAUAAUAGUAUAUUCCAAGUCAGUGAUAACCAUCAGAUUAUGCAACAAGUUUAGACACAUCAAGCUCACACCGCAAUAAAACCACUUAGUGAACACAAGUACAGAGUGUGCGUGUGUGCUUAGCUUAACAACAUGCUCUUCUCUGAAUCAAGAACAGAGACACACAAGUUUCAACAUGACUAGUCAUGCGAGUUAAUAGCUCCCAAGUUGAGUACUAGAAUAAAUCUUAAACAUUUCGUUACUUAGAACUAGCUAUCAUUCAAGUUUACAUGGGAUUUCCAUGUCUUCUUUUUAUUUCUAUAAUACUACUAUAGAUAAUUCUUUUUUUUUCCACAUGAUCGGUCUAAGGUCGGGACGCUCCUUAGUGUAAGUAAGUUACGACCACCAAAAGACUUCACAAGCUCUUUUUUUUUCUUUUUUUAAAGUCAAGUAAUUUCCAGUAAUCAAGGAUAAUGAAAAGUCACCAAGAAAAUUAUAUUUCUAGUACAAUUGCACUUAAUACCAGCACAAGUACAUGGAUCGUCCCUUUCAUUUUCGCCACCCAUUGAUCUCAAAGGAGUACUUGAUACUUUAUUUCUUUUUUUCUUUUUUUUUUCUCUUUUUUUUUUGAAGAAAACAUUUACACCCCACAAUCACCUCAAACUCAAGCAUUUACGUACUAAGCUCAAAAGAGAAUAGUCAAAAUUCUAAUCAUCAACAAGCGGCUACCCCUCAAGAAGCAAGUAUAUCUAAGUCUCAAUUCAAUAUUCAAGGGCAUAAUAAGCUUGUGUCAAUAAAGAAGCUCUGCACUAGUGACACUACGCAUGUAACAUCGCUAAUAUGUGAUCAUAGCAAGAAUUAAUCAAAAACAAGCUACACAUAGUAUCAUCAUAGGUUACUAACUUGGACUAUUAUAUGGGAUCAUGCUAUGCUAUGCUAUGCAAUGAAACAUGUUAUGCAACUAUAUGAACUAAUGUAUGCAAUGUAUGAGUAUUUAUCCUAGCAUGAUAUGAUCAUCUAACUAUUUUACAAGGCUAGAAUUAUUUUUGAUUUUUAUAUUUAUUAUUUUUUUUUGUUUUUUUAAUAACAUAACACACUAUUGAGAACACAUCCCCACACUUAAAUGAGUCAAUGUCCUCAGUGACACACUAAUACUCCUCCUAUAAAUAAAAGAAAAUUAAGAAUACUCCCCUAUGCAUAUGCAUGAAGUGCCGUUCGAAAAAUAAGUGAAGUGUGUUGCCUCUAAGUUGAUGCACCGCGGGCACCUUAACCAUGCCCAUGGUGCAAAUCAUUCUGCCCGGACUUCAUAAACUGACCUUCUGGACCUCAAAAUCCAAUCUCCACCGUUCAGAAUUUAGAUAAUGGAGUCAGGAAGAUGCUGUCCAAAAUUGAGGACGAUCCGACCGUUGGAACUCCGGGAAACGCAAAAACAAGGCAGCUGAUGUAACCAGAAAAAUUGCUGCGAAUUUUUUAUUUUCAGCACCUGUAAUAACCACUUCAAACAAACACAUCAAGGUAACUUGUAGGAGUAAAAACAAAUCAAAAUCUACCUAAUAUAAUAAUCAUGGGUUGCCUCCCAAGAAGCGCUUGUUUAUUGUCAUUAGCUCGACUUAUUCACAUACAAGUAACAAAACUAAUGAGGUGAAAAAGCAAAUAAGUGCACAUAUCUACGAAUCAAUAAUAUAAUUAUGAUGUGCAAAUAUAUCUUUGGUCCACAAACAUAUAAGAAAAUUUGUAUGGACCACACUUGCUCAAGAGACCUCGAAAAAUCAAAGUAGCUAGAAAAGUCGUCAGAAUAAUCAUCAUAAGUACGACUCAUAAACUCCACCCAAAUUGGAUCCUUAUAUUCUAAAGCAAAAUCAUCAAUUAACACAUCGUUCUCAAUUAGAAUUGGAUACUCAUCAAUUUUUAUCUCGUCUACCAAUUCAUUAAGCACAACAUUAUCUACUAAAUCUGGCAGAAUUUCAGUUGUAUCCAAUUUUUCAUUAUCAAGCACGGGACAAUUAUAAUCUAAGCAAGUCGAUUCAUUAGACACAAUAUUUUCAUGAAUUGCUAAAUAAGUAUCAUGACAAAGUGGAAAAUCGACACAAGGAGGAAUCCUAAAACAACCAUUAUGCAUCACAAGUUGAACUUCCAUAAUAAAAGUAUUUCUUUUAGCAUUCUCCUCGUACCAACUUAUCGAAUCUUGACAUAUUAUAUCAGUCUUAUUAGCAACUUCAAAUUUUGGUUCAUCAAUAUGGUCAAAAAGUCCCAUAGACAUUAAAGAAGAAUUGUACUGAACUAAGUUUUUAUCAACAUCAUAACAUGGGUAAGGAUCAUAACAUUGAUUUUCAGAUGCAUAAAAACAAUCAAUGUUAGGUGGGUAUGGAGGGUAAUAUGAGUUGCAACAAUCAAACGAGUUCACCUGAUACGCAUUAAAAUCCUGAAAAGAAUUAUAAUCUAGAUAUCGUUCUUGAUCAUUGUAGAAAUUCUGAGCAUUAUUCCAACCAAAAUUGUAAUCCAUGUCGUCUCUUUAGCUCACAACUUUUUUGGUGUCAACCUCAAAGAACCUGUAGACACACCAAAAACAACAAAAGACGAAAAAAUAAUAAUAUACAACAAUAAAAUCUAAACCACAAGAAACAAUUAACCUAAAAUCAGUAUUGCUGCCUUCCCCGGCAGCGGCGCCAAUUUGUUGUCGAGUAUUUUCAAGAGUAUCGUUCGCAGGGAAGGACUGAUAUCAAUACUAAUUUCAAGUCUUUUAUCUCUUGUAAUUCAGAAGUGUGGAGAAGAAUUUGGUGGUUUUUUUAUAUAUCAACUAAUUAAUAUAAUAAUAAAUAAAUAUAAUAAAUAUGAGAGAAAACAACCCAAGAAUUAGAGUUCUUCAAUGGCUAUCAUGAAUAUCUAAUUUGUGUCUCUUGUUUGCUAAAGACAAUCCUUCUAAUAUUUAUAAAAUCCUCUCCCAAGGUAGAUUAUAAUGCCUACAAUUAUCCAUUAAAAGCCACUCCCAUGGUCAAUCAAAGAACACUUGUAAACUAUUAAGAACCAAGGAUUUUAUGUCUCACAAUUCUCAUAUCAAUCUCCCGAUCUAAUACUCAAAUUGUGUCCAUCAUAUCAUGUACUAGAAUUAUAACUCCUCUCCCGAUUCGUUAUAACUCCUAGAGAUUCAAUUACAAGUUAGCUACUCCUGUAAUUGUAUAAAGCGCUCAAUGACAGAUUAACAAAUCAAGAGAAAACACAAUCCAACUAAACAAACAUAAUAAGCCAAAGAAUACUACCUAACUCUUGGAUCAAAGGAUUAGCUACUCAUGAUAAGAUGAAACAAAUAUAUAUUUAUACCACAAACCAUGAGCGUAAGAAUUUAAGUACGAAGAAUACAACUUGACGAAAGUGCUUGAAGUCCGGAUGAAUCCCUUCACUCCUUCUUCCAAUAUCUCUCACAAGUGCUUCUCUCCCUUUUCUCCCUAAAAAAGCUAUCUCUAUAUUAUUCUAUAUGAUACAAAGUUAGUUGUCUCUAAUCUCUAUCAAAACCCUAAUAUAUAUAAGAGUUUUCUUAAUUUACAAGAAAAUAAAAUAAUAUCCUAAAACGGGUUGGAUUCUGAUGCUGAAAUUCGUAGGCUGCUGUUCAGGCCUGAUUCUGGGCUGAUCCAGUUGGAUUUUGAUAUCUGGACCACCUUAAACUUGUAGAAAAUUCCAAUAUCUUCGCGUGGGCUGUUGAAUCGCCCAAUUCUGACAUCCAGAACUCAAGUUACGGCCCAAACAAGAUUUGCUUCGCUGGCUAUCCAUAAAGUCCGAAUUUCCAUCUGAUUAAGCCCAAAUAAGCUUGAUUUAAUCCAACUUUAGGAAUAUUUAUUUUCCUGAAAUUAAACACUUAAAAUCAAUUAGUAACAUC